AAAGUCGUAACAAGGUCUCCGUAGGUGAACCUGCGGAGGGAUCAUUAACGAAUGGCCUAUUUUGGCCUUCAACCUUCAAACCUUUGUGAACCUUACAACUUGCUUCGGCGAGCCCCUCUCUCCGGAUUGGGAUCGCCGCGUUUAUGCUCGAAUGUGUUUUGUGUGUCGAUUUCUAUAACAAAUAAAACUUUCAACAAAGGAUCUCUUGGCUCUC
rnacentral:misc_RNA from 1 species